UACGGGGGGGGCAAGCGUUGUUCGGAAUUACUGGGCGUAAGGGGCUCGUAGGCGGCCAACUAAGUCGGAUGUGAAAUCCCCAGGCUUAACCUGGGAACUGCAUCCGAUACUGGAUGGCUUGAAUCCGGGAGAGGGAUGCAGAAUUCCAGGUGUAGCGGUGAAAUGCGUAGAUAUCUGGAGGAAUACCGGUGGCGAAGGCGGCAUCCUGGACCGGCAUUGACGCUGAGUGAGCGAAAGCCAGGGGAGCAAACGGG
rnacentral:rRNA from 1 species